rnacentral:tRNA from 1 species
GCCGCGAUAGCUCAGCUGGUGGAGCAUCUGCCCGGUGUGUGUGGAGGGUCGGCGGUUCGACUCCGGCUCGCGGCG